UACGGAGGGGGCUAGCGUUGUUCGGAAUUACUGGGCGUAAAGCGCGCGUAGGCGGACCUGCAAGUCGGGGGGUGAAAGCCCGAGGCUCAACCUCGGAACUGCCUUCGAUACUGCGGGUCUCGAGUCCGGGAGAGGUGAGUGGAAUUCCUAGUGUAGAGGUGAAAUUCGUAGAUAUUAGGAAGAACACCAGUGGCGAAGGCGGCUCAGCUGGCCCGGUACUGACGCUGAGGCGCGAAAGCUAGGGGAGCAAACAGG
rnacentral:rRNA from 1 species